UUUUGCUCACAAAACAUUAUUAAAAUUCUGUUUAUAAUUCUAUUUUAUCCCCCCCCCCCCACCUUUCAUAUUUUUAUUAUUAUUAUUAUUUGUUUAGCUGAAAAGACAUAAAGGAAGCAGUCAGCCCAGUGGUGUUUCUGAAGAGGUAUUCCUUCAGAAAUGGAGAAGACAGAAAGCUGCGGAGGCAGACAUUUGCAGCAAAGUUUUUGGUGAGCCAACCCUCACAAACCUUCCUAAAAACUAAAAGAGCUAUUACUGAGUCUCAGUGAAUCUUGCCAUGAUCAGCUCUUCCCAGAAGAGAAGGAAGACCAAGGAAAUGAUUUGCCCAGGAUGAGGAAUGAAGA